UUCCCAACAAGUAGAGCAUAUAAUGUUAUUCAAUCCACCUUCACAACGACAUUUGGUAUCUUAAAGACAACUUGAAAGAAGGGCAACGAGAGAGAGAAGGUGAAAGGUCCAAAGAGACAGAUUACAACCUGGAGCACAAGGCAAUUCAGCAAGAAGAAAGAAGCAACAUCUCGUGUGCUGUAUUUUUCACGCUCUUGGUCAUUUCGCUCAUGAGUCUGCUAUGUCUGAAAAGAAUAACACGGUAGAAUCUACAUAGCCACA
rnacentral:lncRNA from 1 species